AAACUUCACAUUUGCAUAUUCUACGUUACUUGAAUUCUUUGCUAUGUAUAUACAUUACUAAAAAGUCAAUAUAUAUUUUGAAUGCUGCAUUAGCAACUUUUCAGGGUAUUGCAGACUGAGGCAAGUUCCUCCUGCUCAUGUAUGGCUGUACUCAUGGCCUGUACUCAGCUUCACUUCUUUUCUUACUCUGGACACUAGUCAAUGUAUGCACAGCUAAUUCUAGAUGUAGAAUUUCUUCUCCCCAGAGUUCUGCCCUGUGGCGUUGCUAUAGAUUGAAUGUUUGUGACCUCACCCUCACCCCCCCCUCAAGUCACAUGAUGAAAUCCUAACCCCCAAAGUGAUGAUAUUGGGAAGUGAAGCCUUUGAGAUGUGAUUUGGUCAAGAGGGUAGAGUCCUCAUGAAUGGGAUUCAUGCCCUUAUAGAGGAGACCCCAGACAGCUCCCUUAUGCCUUCUACCAUGUGAAGACACGGUGGGAAGAUGGUCAGCUAUGAACCAGGAAGUGGGUUCUCAUGAGACACAGAAUCUGCUUGCACUUUGAUCUUGGACUUCCCAGGUUCUAGAACUAAGGCAUACAAAUGGCCAACAAGUACAUGAAAAGGCGCUCAACAUCACUAAUCAUCUGGGAGAAGGAAGUGAAAACCACAAUGAGAUAUCACCUUGCACCUGUUAGAAUGGCUGUCAUCACAAAGAGAAGAGCUGGGAAGUGUUGUUGAGAAUGUGGAGAAAAGGGAACCCUUGUGCACAGUUGGUGGCAAUGUGAAUUGGUACAGCUAUUAUGGAAAACAGCAUGGAGGUUCCUCAAAAACUAAAAAUAGAACUACCAUAUAAUCCAGCAAUCUCCUGUCUGGAUACUCAACAGAACUGAAAUCAGCACCUUAGAGAGGUAUCUGUGCUCUCAUGUUCAUUGCAGCAUUAUUUGCAGUAGCCAACAUAUGGAAACAACCUAAACAUAUGUUGAUGGAUGAAUGGACAAAGAAACUGUGGGCUCUCCUCUCCCUUUAUGAACAGAAGACUUUACCAUCUCCAUGUUAUCACAAGUGCUGGGUAUAGAAAUGCUGGGAGAGUCCCCUCAUACUUCUCUUCAUGGCCAGAAAAGAUCUACUGUUUCCCUCAAGGUUUUGAGCUGGGACUAGUAGUACUUUGAGUUAUCACAAGAAAUCUCUGAUCAUCUUGGAAGACUUCUCAGGUGAGACUGUAAAAUACCUGGGCACAUUUGGCCAAGAUUUUGUAUAACUUCUCAAAAAAAACGUUGAUCCCCAUCAUGGAUUAUGCUGAGCAGACUACCAUGUUUUACCCUUACAUGUAGUCUUUUGCUGUAAAAGUCUGUUCAGAGCACAUGGCAUAGUCUGUACCCUCUUUGUUAAAACUAUUUUCAGCACUAACUAUUGCUUAGUAUAAGCAAGGUUAAUAGGGAACUGUUUUUUUUAGGAAUGACAGUGUGAUUGCCUCAUACAAGGCGAUGUGUAAGUAGUCAUGUUGAAGUCUUGUGUAUGGUUUCAUCUCCUUAAGCAGUUUCUUGUAAGGCAUUUCAAUAUAGCAUUCCUUCCCAUUAAUCCUUCAGGCUUGAUCAACAUGGAAAACAAAAUGACCUAUGGAAGUGACACCUUAUAAGCCAGUGUAUUCAAUAGCAGAUGAUUCAAUCCAUUCAUAUUCAUAAUACUGUAGACAGGCAUAUAGAUCUAAGUACCAAGCUGCAUAUGUAACCCACACAUGUAAGAAGGCAUGAAAGAGUAAAGUAGUUAAAUCCCAUGGGGCAGCAGGUGGCUGCUCUUAACUCUAGCUGCAGUGAGGGAAGGGGGCGGGGUGAUGAGUGAGGGAAGUUUCAUGGUGGGAGACAGGGCAUAAUCAUAGAAAAACUGGCUGCUGUGUGAUGGGUCAGUCCUUCAGGCUGCACUUGGAAUUAAAGGCCAUUACACCUGAGGACAUUUGGAGGCUGGGCAGAGUGAGGGCCAGUAAUGGAGUCCUCUGGCAUUGGAGGGGAAUUACCUCCACAACAUUUCCGGCAUUUCUUGGCUUUUUUGAAAGGCAACAGAGAAAUCACUGGAGCAAUAAAAAUGCCCUUAAUGUUUUUGAGGCACAAGCAGGUAGAGUGAUUUUUGAGCAGUUGCAGACAGCAACCAAGAGCACUUCAAAACCAAAAAGCAAAUGGACUCUUGUGGGACCUGCAGGGAAAGCAGGUGGCUAGGCAACCCUGUGCACCCAGCUGCCCCAGCCCAACCUGGACAAGUCAUUCUUGACCCAUUCAGUUUCCACCUCUCACCUUCAAAUGAGUUGUUUCUAGUUUUUUUCCUCUUAAGAACUGUAUUGCUAUGGACAUUUUAUACAUAUUUCCUGGUCCAUUUGUGCAAGAGUUUUAUCAGGUAAUGCUAAAUUGUUUUUAUUUAAAAACUUUUUUUACUAUUUUUUUGAGGCAGGGGAGGGGCAGAGACAGAAGGAGAGAGAAUCCUAACCAGGUUCCUCA